GUACAAAUUGUUUGCAAUUAAGGCUACAGCCUUCAGAAUAAUCAGAGCACCAUCACCUGUGCUGAACAGGGCUGGUCCAAUCCUCCCAAAUGCAUUUCCCCCAAUAAUUCCUGUGUGAAUCCACCACAUGUGCCAAAUGCUGUUAUACUAACAAGGCACAAGGCUAAAUAUCCAUCUGGUGACACAGUACGUUAUGAAUGUAAUAAACCUUUUGAACUAUUUGGGGAUAUGGAAGUGAUGUGUCAAAAUGGGAUUUGGACAGAACCACCGACAUGCAAAGACUCAACAGGGAAAUGUGGGCCUCCUCCACCUAUUGACAAUGGAGACAUCACCUCCUUGUCAUUACCAGUAUAUGCACCAUUAUCAUCAGUUGAAUAUCAGUGCCAGAACUAUUUUUUACUUAAGGGAAAUAAGAUAAUAACAUGCAGAAAUGGAAAGUGGUCUAACCCACCGACCUGCUUACGUGCAUGUGUGAUAUCAGAAGAUAUUAUGGCAAAACAUAAUAUAGUUCUCAGAUGGAGGGAAAAUACAAAGACUUAUUCCCAAUCGGGGGAGAAUAUUGAAUUCAUGUGUAAACCUGGAUAUGGAAAAUUCAGAGGAUCACCUCCAUUUCGUAC
rnacentral:lncRNA from 1 species